GGUGAACGCUGGCGGCGUGCCUAAGACAUGCAAGUCGAGCGGGGCAGGUUUAUACCUGUUCAGCGGCGGACGGGUGAGUAGCGCGUGGGUGACCUACCCGGAAGAGGCGGACAACCUGGGGAAACCCAGGCUAAUCCGCCAUGUGGUCCUGUCCUGUGGGGCAGGACUAAAGGGUGGAUAGCCCGCUUCCGGAUGGGCCCGCGUCCCAUCAGCUAGUUGGUGGGGUAAAGGCCCACCAAGGCGACGACGGGGAGCCGGUCUGAGAGGAUGGCCGGCCACAGGGGCACUGGGACACGGGCCCCACUCCUACGGGGGGCAGCAGUUAGGAAUCUGCCGCAAUGGACGGAAGUCUGACGGAGCGACGCCGCUUGGAGGAGGAAGCACUUCGGGGUGUAAACUCCUGAACUGGGGACGAAAGCCCUGUGUAGGGGGAUGACGUGACCCAGGUAAUAGCGCCGGCCAACUCCGUG
rnacentral:rRNA from 1 species